GACGAAGGAUGCAAGCGUUAUCCGGAUUCAUUGGGUUUAAAGGGAGCGUAGGCGGCCUUGUAAGUCAGUGGUGAAAUCUCUGGGCUUAACCCGAAAACUGCCAUUGAUACUAUUUGUCUUGAAUAUUGUGGAGGUCAGCGGAAUAUGUCAUGUAGCGGUGAAAUGCUUAGAUAUGACAUAGAACACCAAUUGCGAAGGCAGCUGGCUACACAUAUAUUGACACUGAUGCACGAAAGCGUGGGGAUCAAACAGG
rnacentral:rRNA from 1 species